rnacentral:rRNA from 1 species
GAUGAACGCUAGCUACAGGCUUAACACCUGCAAGUCGAGGGACCGGCGCACGGGAGAGUAACACGUACCCAACCUGCCCUUUACUCGGGGAUAGCCUUUCGAAAGAAAGAUUAAUACCCGAUAUAAAGGAUGGGUCUGCGUUCCAGUAGGUUGUUGUUGUGUUAACGGCUCACAAAGCCUUCGAUGGAUAGGGGUUCGAGGAGGUAGGUACCGCACAUGGGACUAUACACACGAUCCAAACUCCUACGGUCGUCAGCAGUGAGGAAUAGUUGUCAAUGUGCGCUAGCCUGAACCAGCCAAUUAGCGUGAAGGAUGAAGGCUUAUGGGUCGUAAACUUCUUUUAUAUAAGAAUAUGUAUUAUAUGAAUAAGGAUCGGCUAACUCCGUGCCAGCAGCCGCGGUAAUUC